CUCAACUAACCUGGAACCUUGAGACUCUCAGAGACUGAACCACCAACCAAAGAGAAUACAACUGGACCUAUUUCCCUUCCCCCACCCAUAUGUAACAUAUAGGCAGCUCUGUCUUCAUGUGGAUCCCAUUCUGGAGCGGGGGCUAUCUCUAAGCUGUUGCCUGUCUGUGGUCUAUGUUCUUCUAGCUUGGCUGCCUUUUCUGACCUCAGUGGGGAAGGAUGCAUCUAGUUUCCAAAGACUCGACGGUGGUGUGGGGUGGGUGGGUGGGAGGUGGUUCCUAAGGUCCCUUUCAGAGGUGAAUGAGAGUGUGGUGGGGGAGAGAUUGUGGGAGGGAGGCAGUUAUCGAGAUGUAGAGUGGAAAAAAAUUGAGAGAGAAGUUUCUUGAAGCCUCCUAGCAUUGUUCUAUGUUGUGUUCUCUUGAAGACAUUACAUGAAAUGGAGUGGGAGGGCAGAACUGAAAGACUGGGCAAAAGAGAAGCUGAUCUCUAAGCCAAUCCUCUCAAGAGGCCCAGGGGGAGAAGCACAGAUAGAUGGAGUCAUUCACAUUAAUCAAGUACAUUUGUGACUAUGACUGAAGGAGCUGAAGGGGUUUGCAACCCCAUAAGAAGAGCAGCAAUAUCAACCCACCAGACCCCUUCCAGAGUUCUCAGGGACUAAACCACCAACCAAAGAGUGCACAUGGAGUAUGCCACGGCUCCAGCUGCCCGUGUAGCAGAGGAUGGCACUGUCUGGCAUCAAUUGGAAGAGAAGCCCUUGGUCCUGUGAAGGCUCCUUUUCACCAGUGUAGGGGAACGCAGGAUUGCAGGAUUGCUGGAUUAUUGGUUUGAUGUUUUGCUGGUUUGCUGAUUGGAAAUUUUCUGACGUCAGACUGGACUUGCCUUAAAGAAUUUCAUGCCCCAAAUCAUCAAGAGGGAGCGGCUAAAGAUGGCGCCGACAUCCGGUGGUCGUUUGUGAUAAACACCCACAAUGCACAUGUGUUGGCAUUUCUCCGGCAGCUAUCAGGCUGGAGUGAUAUUCAUGCUAAUGAGGCAUUUCAUGCUCCACCAAUCCCUAGAGGACAAGUAUAUAGCCACAGCCUGUUUUGUAUAUAAGGCUAGUGCCUUUGUUCCUCGGGGUCCCCGUAUCAAUAAUGAGGUGUUCCUGCAGUAAAGGCUGUUGAGAAGAAUCCGACCGUGUUGCGUCUUCUUUGCUGGCUGAG